AUUGAACGCUGGCGGCGUGCCUAAUACAUGCAAGUCGAGCGAAUGGAUUAAGAGCUUGCUCUUAUGAAGUUAGCGGCGGACGGGUGAGUAACACGUGGGUAACCUGCCCAUAAGACUGGGAUAACUCCGGGAAACCGGGGCUAAUACCGGAUAACAUUUUGAACCGCAUGGUUCGAAAUUGAAAGGCGGCUUCGGCUGUCACUGAUGGAUGGACCCGGGUCGCAUUAGCAAGUUGGUGAGGUAACGGCUCACCAAGGCAACGAUGCGUAGCCGACCUGAGAGGGUGAUCGGCCACACUGGGACUGAGACACGGCCCAGACUCCUACGGGAGGCAGCAGUAGGGAAUCUUCCGCAAUGGACGAAAGUCUGACGGAGCAACGCCGCGUGAGUGAUAAAGGCUUUCGGGUCGUAAAACUCUGUUGUUAGGGAAGAACAAGUGCUAGUUGAAUAAGCUGGCACCUUGACGGUACCUAACCAGAAAGCCACGGCUAACUACGUGCCAGCCGCCGCUGUAACAC
rnacentral:rRNA from 1 species